UCCCUGGUGGUCCAGUGGCUAGAACUCCACACUUCCAAUGUGGGGGUUCCAGGUUCCAUCCCUGAUCAGGGAA